AUUGAACGCUGGCGGCAGGCCUAACACAUGCAAGUCGAACGAGUGGCGGACGGGUGAGUAAUGUCCGGGAAACUGCCUGAUGGAGGGGGAUAACUACUGGAAACGGUAGCUAAUACCGCAUACCAUCAGAUGUGCCCAGAUGGGAUUAGCUGGGUGGUGGGGUAACGGCUCACAAAGGCGACGAUCCCUAGCUGGUCUGAGAGGAUGACCAGCCACACUGGAACGAAGACAAGGUCCAGACUCCUACGGGAGGCAGCAGUGGGGAAUAUUGCGCAAUGGGAGAAAGCCUGAUGCAGCCAUGCAGCGUGGAUGAAGAAGGCCAUCGGGUUGUAAAGUACUUUCAGCGGGGAGGCGUUACCCGCAGAAGAAGCACCGGCUAACUCCGUGCCAGCCGCCGCGGUAAUUC
rnacentral:rRNA from 1 species